rnacentral:rRNA from 1 species
GACGAACGCUGGCGGCGUGCUUAACACAUGCAAGUCGAACGGAAAGGCCCUGCUUUUGUGGGGUGCUCGAGUGGCGAACGGGUGAGUAACACGUGAGUAACCUGCCCUUGACUUUGGGAUAACUUCAGGAAACUGGGGCUAAUACCGGAUAGGAGCUCCUGCUGCAUGGUGGGGGUUGGAAAGUUUCGGCGGUUGGGGAUGGACUCGCGGCUUAUCAGCUUGUUGGUGGGGUAGUGGCUUACCAAGGCUUUGACGGGUAGCCGGCCUGAGAGGGUGACCGGGGGGAGGGGGGGGGGGGGGGGGCCGGGACGGCGGCGGGGGGGGGGGGGGGGGGAGGGGGGGGAAGGGGGGGAAGGCGGAUGCAGCAACGCCGGGUGCGGGGUGGCGGGCUGCGGGUGGGAAACCGCUUUCGCCGGGGACGAAGCGUGAGUGAGGGGAAUGGGUAAAGAAGCACCGGCUAGCUACGGG